GAUGAACGCUGGCGGCGUGCCUAAUCCAUGCAAUUCGAGCGAACGGAUGAGAAGCUUGCUCCUCUGCUUUUAGCGCCGGACGGGUGAGUAAAACUUGGAUACCCUCCCUUUAAGACUGGGUUAACUUCGGGAAACCGGAGCUAAUACCGGAUAAUAUUUUAAACCGCAUGGUUCAUAAUUGAAAGACGGUUUUGCUGUCACUUAUAGAUGGAUCCGCGCGGCAUUAGCUAGUUGGUAAGGUAACGGCUUACCAAGGCAACGAUGCGUAGCCGACCUGAGAGGGUGAUCGGCCACACUGGAACUGAGACACGGUCCAGACUCCUACGGGAGGCAGCAGUAGGGAAUCUUCCGCAAUGGGCGAAAGCCUGACGGAGCAACGCCGCGUGAGUGAUGAAGGUCUUCGGAUCGUAAAACUCUGUUAUUAGGGAAGAACAAAUGUGUAAGUAACUAUGCACGUCUUGACGGUACCUAAUCAGAAAGCCACGGCUAACUACGUG
rnacentral:rRNA from 1 species